rnacentral:rRNA from 1 species
AGCGAACGCUGGCGGCAGGCCUAACACAUGCAAGUCGAACGAACCUUUCGGGGUUAGUGGCGGACGGGUGAGUAACACGUGGGAACGUGCCUUUAGGUUCGGAAUAACUUAGGGAAACUUGUGCUAAUACCGAAUGUGCCCUUCGGGGGAAAGAUUAAUCGCCUUUAGAGCGGCCCGCGUCUGAUUAGCUAGUUGGUUGAGGUAAUGGCUCACCAAGGCGACGAUCAGUAGCUGGUCUGAGAGGAUGAUCAGCCACAUUGGGACUGAGACACGGCCCAAACUCCCACGGGAGGCAGCAGUGGGGAAUCUUGCGCAAUGGGCGAAAGCCUGACGCAGCCAUGCCGCGUGAAUGAUGAAGGUCUUAGGAUUGUAAAAUUCUUUCACCGGGGACGAUAAUGACGGUACCCGGAGAAGAAGCCCCGGCUAACUUCGUG